CCAGAUCCAAAUCAUGCAGGAAUAGGCACCCGGCGGUUACCAGGCAUCGGUGAGUCCCCUCCAUCUCCUUCCUCCCCUACUCCCCGCCCAUCUGUUCUCGGCGAUCGACAGCGACCGUUCCCUGCGCGACCAGCAGCCCACCCCUGCGCGUCUGUCCCGUGCCCCGGCGCGGCGUCCCUGCAGCCCCAGCGCGGCGCAGCCAGCCAUGCUCGCGCCCCAGCCCCUGCUCCCUCAGCGCGUCCAACCUCCCUGCCUUGCCCCUUCCGCGAGCUCGGCGCAGCCAGCCAGCGGCUCGCCCAGCGCGGCAGCGAGCUCGCGCAGCAGCGAGCGCGUGGCCCGGCGGCCUGCGACGCGUUGCCAGCGCGCGACUGUCGCGGACAGCCCCGGCGGCCAGUGCCCCGACGAACUCCACUCCCGGCCGUCUGAGCCCCGCCGCUGCCCAGCCCUAGCGCGCGGCCUGGAGUCCCUGGGCGCUGCCGAACUCGCCCCUGCCCAGGUGUUUUUGGGGCGCGGAGCCCGCUCGAGCGCCCCCUCCCUGCGCGAGCUCGCUUCUCCUCCAUAGCAAUGGCCGAUCCCCUCUCCUCCCCCAUGGUCGUUCUCUGUUUUUUUCCCAAGGAAGAAGAAAACCACCGCACCGUGCCACCAGGAAAAGGAAACGGCCCUUAGGGCCCACCUUGUAUGCGAUUUACUGCCCACGUUUUUUCCUUGCCGUGGGUUUGGAAAAAAGACCAACUGGGCCCCACUACAUGCACCGCAUGCCAGGACAUUGCAUGCUGCACGAUUGUACCAUCCCAUGGAUUUUCUGCGGCCGUGAUCUCUAUGAUCCUCCGCGUGGCAACCUAUCGACCAAUCAAAUUGCACCACAUUAUUUUUAAUCCACGACUUAUUAAAUAUGCGUUAUCUUUUCACGUCCAAUUUAUUCCAUUCCAGUCGUGUUAUUUUCCCAAUAAAGUCGUGUACACGUUAAGAAUAUAAUUUUGGUCGUAGCGCAUGUUUCAGUUAAUUAAUUAUUUAAUGGUUGGUCUGAUGGUUAUUAAAAUAGCAAUUUAAUUUAUAGUUUUAAGUUGCACUUUUAUAAAUAUAUGUUAACGUCAUUAAUACCAACUUAAACACUUUUCAUUUAAUACUUAUUUAUUAUAAACACGUUAUUUGUUAGCGAUUAUCGCGUUGUCGCGCGUCGUUCGCGCGUGCUGUUCCGCGUGCGGUAUCGUGCUGGUUCGCGCGUAAUUCGCUCUAGUUGCUCAUACUGUCUGGUGCGCUGUUUCGCGCGCGUCGUUUGGGCGAGUCGUUCGCGCGCUGUUCGCGUGGCACGUUUAAGUCAGCGCGUGCCGUUCGCACGCAUCGUGCGUGUCGUUCACACGUGUCGACGUGCGCUGUCGCGUACGCCGUUCCGCGCACCUUGUUUAGUGUGUUGCGUGUCAUGUCGCGCGACAAUAAACUAUUUCGUCUAGAAUCGUUCACGUUAAUUAAUCUACGUAAUUAAACGAUGAUUAACUGAGUAGUAAAUCAAUCAGAACUAAGUGUUAAUUCUAUCGGUGCAUGCGAUGAAUACCUCUAAUUGUGGUUAUGUCAACUUAAGUGUUGCAUUUAAUUUAUGUGUAGAAUAAAUACGACACGGUUUAGUAGUAGUUCGCGCGUCGCGCCGUUUUCGCGGGUCGCGUGCUGUUUGCGUGACGCGCACGCUGUCCCCACAUGUGGCGCUCGUUAUUGUCGGGUCGUAUGUUUUAGUUGUAUAAUUAAUUAUUGGUUUAUUCUAGGGUUAAUAAAAUAACAAUUUAUUUAGAACGAGUAUAUAGUUUUAACUCGUGCUUUUAUAACUAUAAAUAUUAGUUAACUUGAUUAACACCAGCUUAAAUGCUUUUAACUAAUUAUUUAUUUGUUCGUUGUUGGCGCACGACAUCGUUUGCGCGUCAUCGUGCUAUUUACGCGCAUAGUCGCGUUGACUCGUGCGUGUCGCGCACGGUCGUGCGCGUUGUUUUGCGGAUGUCGCGCGUGCCAUUCACACGCGUUGCCGCACGCCGUGCGCGUGCCGCAAUGUUGUUUCGUGUGUCGUGUGGCGUCUACGUGUGAUAAUAAAUUAUUUUCGCUUAUAAACACUCAUGUUAUAAGAUUAAUUCGUCAGGUCAUAUAUUUUAGAUAAUCAACCUAAGGUUUGCUCGACUAAUAUUUAUUAGAUUAAUAUCUCAGUUAGAUUAAAUAUGUAAUGUUCAAUUUGCGCUUUUAUAAUAAAUAUUAACAUGGUAAAUAUUAACUUAACUACUUUCUAUUUAUUUAAUAUUUGUUUAGUAUAAACGUGUCACUUAUUUAGUUUUCCUCGUCUGUCGCGCGUGCUGUUCCGCACGUGAUGGCGUGCUCGUUCGCGCUGUUUCGUGUGUCGUCAGCGUGCGAUGUCGCGCCUGUCCGCGCGUCGUUCGCACGUUGUCAUGCUGUUUCGUGCAUCGUCAAUUCGCAUCGCUGAGAAUCUCUUGUGUUAAUUAAAUUACUUAUUUAUUUGACAGCUGUUAGCGUAACAGAUUUAAUCAGAACUAAAUAGCAGUUAUAAUUUAUAUUUGAUAAUAUCGAAUUAAAUGUUUUACUUAAUGUUUAUUUAGCGUAAACGCGAUAUCUUCCAGAUCGACGCUUCGAGUUCGACACUUCUUUUUCCUCGCGUGACUGUAGUAACGCGCUCUAUUUCGUUUUGCAUGUUUUAUUAUGUUUGUAUUUGUAUGAUGUAAUGUUCUUAUGCAUAUAUGUGUUUGCUUGCUUGUGUCUGUUCGUCUUCGCUCCGCGUUGCGAUUAGAAUGUGAUCCAUCUCCAAGUUUCGAGGGAUCGAAGAUCAAGCUUCGACGACCAAGUGAUCUGGCUCUUCGAGUUCCACGAAGUUGAAGACCCUGAACAUCUGUUUGGCGAAGGCAAGUGUCCUCUGACCCAUUAUGUCCCAUUUACUUUAUAAUACACUGUCCCGCAUACUAUGAACAACCUAAGGAUUUACUAGCUUUCUAUUUACCUUGUCCUUGAUUUACCUUUUGGGUUACUAUGGUUAGCUUCAUGCUAGCGCUUUAUUUUAAUCAAUGAACAUGAUGAGAUACAAUGAUGAUACUAUGAUUUUACUCUGGAUAUGAUGAUAUACUUGUGGCAUUUAGGGGACUCGAGCGGUUUCUCGAGUGCCUCUCCGUAAGGACCUGUUCGUUGGAUGACCGCCCGGGAAAACAGUGCAACCAUGAGGGUGAAAUGGGGGGCCCUUAGCUAAUUAAUUAGAGGAACUAGAGGUGUAGUUGCUUCGCCGUCGUGCCAUCAAUGGGGUCCAGGCACAGUGCUUGCUCUGCCGAGGCUAGGUGCCGAGGUUCUUUCGUUUUGCUUUUGUUAGUCACCCCCCUUCGGGGAGAGGUACUGUGUUUAUCAAACUGGAGAAACCUAACGGGCGGCUAGUACCUCUAGGGAAUCUUUGUAAAAGCUACGUAGUGAUACCCUGCCGGACCACCUAGGAAGUGAUCAAUGGGGAGUCAUGAUCCCCGGGCAAAACGGGAAUCACGACUCAUGGGUAAAGUGUGCGACCUCUGUAGAGGGUAAUGAAACUGAUAUAUCAGCCAUGCUCGCGGUUAAGAGCAGCCUUGGGAUCCUCUUUGAUUAGAGAUACUCCGGACGCACCUCAGAUGAUGACUUUAAUGAUGAUGGUUAAUGAUGGUGACUUUAAUUAUGUAUUCUAGUAUUUCCUCUCUAAGGAGGUACCUUUUGGGAUUAUAACUUGGGUUUUAUGAUAAAAUCUGGCUUCUACUAACAAUAAAUAUCUGACCAACUAAAAGCAACUGCUUGAGCCUAACCCCACAUAAAAGCUAGUCCACUUCAGCCAAACGGGGCAUUUGCUGAGUACGUUGAUGUGUACUCAUCCUUGCUUUACCACAAAACACCAGGUUGUCCACAUUGCAACCACUGCUCAGGAGAAGAUGAAGCCUACUCAGGAGUUCCAAGACUACGACGAGUUCUAGGUGUGGGUUGGCGGAAACCCCCAGUCAGCUGCCUGUGAAGGCCCUAUCUUUACUGCGUUCCGCUUAGCACUUUGAUUUACCCGUUGAGUUGAUGACUAUGUGGAUGUCUUUGACAUCGUGAUGUAAUAAGUUAAUACUCUUUUAUGUUAUUAUUCGAGCACUAUGCGAUGAUGUUCAUUUAUGUAAUCGCUGUGUACGUGAGUUCUGAUCCUGGCACGUACAUAGUUCGCAUUCGGUUUGCCUUCUGAAACCGGGUGUGACACCACGGGAUUUCCACCUCUCUCACGCCCAUCUCCGGCCACCUCUAUUCCCCCCUUCGCGCUCGGCCUCGCGCCGACCCAUCUGGGCUGGGGCACGCGGCGACAUUUCACUCAUCGGCUUAGGGACCCCCCGGUCUCGAAACGCCGACAGUUGGCGCGCCAGGUAGGGGCCUGUUGCGUGUUGAUGAACAGCUUCCCGUCAAGCUCCAGAUGGGCAGUCUCCAGCAACCUCUCCGAC
rnacentral:lncRNA from 1 species